CGAAAGCCUGACGGAGCAACGCCGCGUGAGGGAUGAAGGCCUCUGGGCUGUAAACCUCUUUUCUCAAGGAAGAAGAUCUGACGGUACUUGAGGAAUAAGCCACGGCUAAUUCCGUGCCAGCAGCCGCGGUAAUACGGGAGUGGCAAGCGUUAUCCGGAAUCAUUGGGCGUAAAGCGUCCGCAGGCGGCCUUGAAAGUCUGUCGUUAAAGCGUGGAGCUUAACUCCAUUUCAGCGAUGGAAACUACAAGGCUUGAGUGUGGUAGGGGCAGAGGGAAUUCCCGGUGUAGCGGUGAAAUGCGUAGAUAUCGGGAAGAGCACCAGUGGCGAAGGCGCUCUGCUGGGCCAUAACUGACGCUCAUGGACGAAAGCCAGGGGAGCG
rnacentral:rRNA from 1 species